UAAGUCGAGCCGGCAGAUGGGARCUUGGAMUCMCUGAAUSUCCWARCGGCGGACGGGUGAGUAACACGUGGGUAACCUGCCUGUAAGACUGGGAUAACUCCGGGAAACCGGGGCUAAUACCGGAUGGUUGUUUGAACCGCAUGGUUCAAACAUAAAAGGUGGCUUCGGCUACCACUUACAGAUGGACCCGCGGCGCAUUAGCUAGUUGGUGAGGUAACGGCUCACCAAGGCAACGAUGCGUAGCCGACCUGAGAGGGUGAUCGGCCACACUGGGACUGAGACACGGCCCAGACUCCUACGGGAGGCAGCAGUAGGGAAUCUUCCGCAAUGGACGAAAGUCUGACGGAGCAACGCCGCGUGAGUGAUGAAGGUUUUCGGAUCGUAAAGCUCUGUUGUUAGGGAAGAACAAGUACCGUUCGAAUAGGGCGGUACCUUGACGGUACCUAACCAGAAAGCCACGGCUAACUACGUGCCAGCAGCCGCGGUAAUACGUAGGUGGCAAGCGUUGUCCGGAAUUAUUGGGCGUAAAGGGCUCGCAGGCGGUUCUAMSYCACCCCUGAUGAACWGAAAGCMMYYGGCWMARMSGGGGAGGGUCAUUGGAAACUGGAA
rnacentral:rRNA from 1 species